GACGAACGCUGGCGGCGUGCUUAACACAUGCAAGUCGAACGGAAAGGCCCUGCUUUUGUGGGGUGCUCGAGUGGCGAACGGGUGAGUAACACGUGAGUAACCUGCCCUUGACUUUGGGAUAACUUCAGGAAACUGGGGCUAAUACCGGAUAGGAGCUCCUGCUGCAUGGUGGGGGUUGGAAAGUUUCGGCGGUUGGGGAUGGACUCGCGGCUCAUCAGCUUGUUGGUGGGGUAGUGGCUUACCAAGGCUUUGACGGGUAGCCGGCCUGAGAGGGUGACCGGCCACAUUGGGACUGAGAUACGGCCCAGACCCCUACGGGAGGCAGCAGUGGGGAAUAUUGCACAAUGGGCGGAAGCCUGAUGCAGCAACGCCGCGUGCGGGAUGACGGCCUUCGGGUUGUAAACCGCUUUCGCCUGUGACGAAGCGUGAGUGACGGUAAUGGGUAAAGAAGCACCGGCUAACUACGUG
rnacentral:rRNA from 1 species